AUUGAACGCUGGCGGCAGGCCUAACACAUGCAAGUCGAGCGGAUGAAGGGAGCUUGCUCCUGGAUUCAGCGGCGGACGGGUGAGUAAUGCCUAGGAAUCUGCCUGGUAGUGGGGGAUAACGUCCGGAAACGGGCGCUAAUACCGCAUACGUCCUGAGGGAGAAAGUGGGGGAUCUUCGGACCUCACGCUAUCAGAUGAGCCUAGGUCGGAUUAGCUAGUUGGUGGGGUAAAGGCCUACCAAGGCGACGAUCCGUAACUGGUCUGAGAGGAUGAUCAGUCACACUGGAACUGAGACACGGUCCAGACUCCUAAGGGAGGCAGCAGUGGGGAAUAGUGGACAAUGGGCGAAAGCCUGAUCCAGCAAUGCCGCGUGUGUGAAGAAGGUCUUCGGAUUGUAAAGCACUUUAAGUUGGGAGGAAGGGCAGUAAGUUAAUACCUUGCUGUUUUGACGUUACCAACAGAAUAAGCACCGGCUAACUUCGUG
rnacentral:rRNA from 1 species